GACUAAUCUCCUCGGAUGCAGUCUCUACUCGGCUGCUGUGACACUCCUUCCGCUGAGCAUUCUCUCUCUCUUUCGCCAGCCGGAAUUCUUGGUGCAGCCUUGUGUUUCGCUCGGCCGUGACCUGGUUCCAGAUCACCCGGCGUACCUCCAUUUGUAUAUCAUCCGCAUACUGGGCCACUCGCUGCCUCACCUCGGCCAUCCAAUCAUCACCA
rnacentral:lncRNA from 1 species